rnacentral:sRNA from 1 species
UGCAUAGUUGCUCGCAUCGGUACGCAGUA